AAAAAUCCGUUUAGACAAUGCUAGGAUGUGAUGGGGAAGCCCUCCGGGGCGAAGUAGCUGAUUUCACACUGUCAAGAAAAGCUUCUAUCGAGUUUAAAGGCGCCCGUACCGUAAACCGACACAGGUGGGUGAGGAGAGUAUCCUAAGGCCAGCGAGAGAACUAUUGUUAAGGAACUCGGCAAAAUGACCCCGUAACUUAGGGAGAAGGGGUGCCUGUCUAUGGCAGGCCGCAGAGAAUAGGCCCAAGCGACUGUUUACCAAAAACACAGGUUUCUGCUAAGUCGCAAGACGAUGUAUAGGAGCUGACGCCUGCCCGGUGCUGGAAGGUUAAGGGGAUCUGUUAGAGCAAUCGAAGCAGUGAACUUAAGCCCCAGUAAACGGCGGCCGUAACGAUAACGGUCCUAAGGUAGCGAAAUUCCUUGUCGGGUAAGUUCCGACCCGCACGAAAGGCGUAACGAUUUGGGCACUGUCUCAACAAUAGACUCGGUGAAAUUGUAAUCCCGGUGAAGAUGCCGGGUACCUGCGACAGGACGGAAAGACCCCAUGGAGCUUUACUGUAGCUUGACGUUGGGUCUUGGUACUACAUGUACAGGAUAGGUGGGAGACUAUGAAGCAUGGACGCCAGUCUGUGUGGAGUCAUCCUUGGGAUACCACCCUUGUAGUACUGGGAUCCUAACCAUAGGCCUUGAAUCAGGUCUUGGAACACCGUCAGGUGGGCAGUUUGACUGGGGCGGUCGCCUCCUAAAAAGUAACGGAGGCGCUCAAAGGUUUCCUCAGCACGGUCGGAAAUCGUGCGAAGAGUGUAAAGGCAAAAGGAAGCUUGAUUGCAAGACAUACAGGUCGAGCAAGGACGAAAGUCGGACUUAGUGAUCCGGUGGUACCGCAUGGAAGGGCCAUCGCUCAACGGAUAAAAGCUACCCUGGGGAUAACGGGCUUAUCUCCCCCAAGAGUCCACAUCGACGGGGAGGUUUGGCACCUCGAUGUCGGCUCAUCACAUCCUGGGGCUGUAGUAGGUCCCAAGGGUUGGGCUGUUCGCCCAUUAAAGUGGUACGCGAGCUGGGUUCAGAACGUCGUGAGACAGUUCGGUCCCUAUCCGUCGCAGGCGUAGGAAAUUUGAGAAGACCUGUCCUUAGUACGAGAGGACCGGGAUGGACGUACCUCUGGUGUACCAGUUGUUCUGCCAAGGGCAUGGCUGAGUAGCUAUGUACGGAAUGGAUAAGCGCUGAAAGCAUCUAAGCGCGAAGCCAACUUCAAGAUAAGAUUUCCCACCGUAAGGGUAAGACCCCAGGAAGACUACCUGGUUGAUAGGUCGAAGGUGUAAGUGCAGUAAUGUAUUUAGCUUAUCGAUACUAAUAGGUCGAGGACUUGACCG
rnacentral:rRNA from 1 species